UUCCGGUUGAUCCUGCCGGACCUUACUGCUAUCGGGGUGGGACUAAGACAUGCGAGUCGAGCGUCUCUAGCUAUGUUGAGACGCGGCAGACGGCUCAGUAACACGUGGCUAACCUACCCUCAGGACGAGGAUAAACCCGGGAAACUGGGGCUAAUACUCGAUAGGUGAGAAUGUCUGGGAUGAUUUCUCAUUCAAAGGGCUUUAGAAACAUGCUUCUAAAGUCGCCUGGGGAUGGGGCCGCGUCCGAUCAGGUUGUUGGUGAGGUAACGGCUCACCAAGCCUAUAACCGGUACGGGCCGUGAGAGCGGUAGCCCGGAGAUGGGUACUGAGACAAGGACCCAGGCCCUACGGGGCGCAGCAGUCGCGAAAACUCCGCAAUGCACGAAAGUGUGACGGGGCUACCCCGAGUGCCAUCCGCUGAGGAUGGCUUUUCUUUGGUGUAACUAGCCGGGGGAAUAAGGAGAGGGCAAGACUGGUGUCAGCCGCCGCGGUAAUACCAGCUCUCCGAGUGGUAGGGAUGAUUAUUGGGCUUAAAGCGUCCGUAGCCGGCUUAGCAAGUCUCCUGUUAAAUUCAGCGACCUAAUCGUUGAGCCGCGGGAGAUACUACUAGGCUAGGAGGCGGGAGAGGUCGACGGUACUUCUGGGGUAGGGGUGAAAUCCUAUAAUCCCGGGAGGACCACCAGUGGCGAAGGCUGUUGACUAGAACGCGCUCGACGGUGAGGGACGAAAGCUGGGGGAGCGAACCGGAUUAGAUACCCGGGUAGUCCCAGCCGUAAACGAUGCGGGCUAGGUGUUGGGGUGGCUACGUGCCACUUCAGUGCCGCAGGGAAGCCAUUAAGCCCGCCGCCUGGGGAGUACGGCCGCAAGGCUGAAACUUAAAGGAAUUGGCGGGGGAGCACCACAAGGCGUGAAGCUUGCGGUUCAAUUGGAAUCAACGCCGGU
rnacentral:rRNA from 1 species